rnacentral:rRNA from 1 species
GACGAACGCUGGCGGCGCGCUUAACACAUGCAAGUCGAACGGAAAGGCCCUGCUUUUGUGGGGUGCUCGAGUGGCGAACGGGUGAGUAACACGUGAGUAACCUGCCCUUGACUUUGGGAUAACUUCAGGAAACUGGGGCUAAUACCGGAUAGGAGCUCCUGCUGCAUGGUGGGGGGUGGAAAGUUUCGGCGGUUGGGGAUGGACUCGCGGCUUAUCAGCUUGUUGGUGGGGUAGUGGCUUACCAAGGCUUUGACGGGUAGCCGGCCUGAGAGGGUGACCGGCCACAUUGGGACUGAGAUACGGCCCAGACUCCUACGGGAGGCAGCAGUGGGGAAUAUUGCACAAUGGGCGGAAGCCUGAUGCAGCAACGCCGCGUGCGGGAUGACGGCCUUCGGGUUGUAAACCGCUUUCGCCUGUGACGAAGCGUGAGUGACGGUAAUGGGUAAAGAAGCACCGGCUAACUACGUG